rnacentral:pre_miRNA from 1 species
AAAGUACUCCCUCUGUCCCAAAAUUCUUGUCUUAGAUUUUUCUAGAUACAGAUGUAUCAAGUCACAUUUUAGUAUUAGAUACAUUUGUAUUUAGACAAAUCUAAGACAAGAAAUUUGGGACAGAGGGGGUAGUUG